AACAGUCCUGUUCACUGAUGAGUGAUGGUCCAGAUGGAUGGAGUAGUAUCCACUACUCCAUCCAUCUAGACCAUCACUCAUCAGUGAACAGGACUG
rnacentral:miRNA from 1 species